UUUCUUUCACUCUUAUUUUAUAUUUAUGUUCUUUCAUUGAGGACAAUAUAUGUUUUAAGUGUGGUGGAGGGAACCAUUUAUUUGUUUUGUUUUCUUUGUUUUGUUUUCAGUUUUUCUUUGUUUUGGUUUUUGUUUGCUUUCUUAUAAAAAAAUUGCAUGCUUUUUCCCUUGGUUUUUGAGUUACAAUUAUGAGUAUUUUUCUUAGUUCUCUUGACUAAAG
rnacentral:lncRNA from 1 species